rnacentral:lncRNA from 1 species
GAACUUUCAGCCCCACUUCCCCAACCUUUGGGGAGGGGAGAGAGACUGGAGAUUGGCCUAAACACCAGUGGUCAAUGAUUUAAUCAAUUAUGGCUACAUAAUGAAGCUUCCAUAGAAAAAAACAAAAGGAUGGAGUUCAGAGAGCUUCUGGGUUGGUGUGCGGAAAAACACGGCUUCUGCUGGAGAUGGAAAAAGGACUCUGGGGAGGACAAGAUGCCUCAUGUCAAAGCAACAAGGUUCCAGUGAAGAGCUGCAGGCCUCAGAGGCAGUUUAUUUCAUCAAAAAGAUCGGAAGCCUAAAAACAGCAUUGUUAGGGAACUGGCAGCUCAAGACAAAGAAGCCGAACCAGAAGAGGGCACUCUUACCACAGAGAUUUACAGCUAAUGGUUUUUUUUUUUUUUUUUUUUUAAUGUUUGCCCCUCAGCAGGGCCAACAGAGAAAGCAGGACAUUCUUUCCUAAGGAGCUCAUAACUCUCCCAGCCAAGCAAGAAGGAAAAGGCAAAACACCAAGGGUGAAAACUUAGCAGAGAAUGCCAAAGGCAAUGACCGUGCUCUCUGACCAUCACACGCUGGAGGCAGAGCUUUAUAUGGUUCUCAAAGGAUUGUUUACCUCCUCCUCACUAAACCUUAAAAAAAAAUGUAUUCCAAAAACGAAUUACACCAAGCCAACCCACAUUACUCAGUCUACGAAGCCAACCCACAUUCUGGCCUGUACUGCCUUUCAACUCUUCCUAUUUCCACUUGCUGGAAUAAAUCAUUUCACUCUAGGGCCAAAACAGGUUUGAUUUCAUCUGUCAGAGGCCUGUAACAUUAAGCGG